rnacentral:snoRNA from 2 species
CCCCUCUCAGGAUGGCACCUGGAGAGUUUCCAAUACUCUACCAGUCUCGUUUACAGGAGGGACAGUCAAGCAGAGGCCUAUCCAUUCCAUUCCUAGCUUGGCCCAUGGCUAGCGAGUGGAAGGCAAUCUGCUUCAAGC